AACGAACGCUGGCGGCAGGCUUAACACAUGCAAGUCGAGCGCCCCGCAAGGGGAGCGGCAGACGGGUGAGUAACGCGUGGGAAUCUACCCAUCUCUACGGAAUAACGCAUGGAAACGUGUGCUAAUACCGUAUACGUCCUUCGGGGGAAAGAUUUAUCGGAGAUGGAUGAGCCCGCGUUUGAUUAGCUAGUUGGUGGGGUAAAGGCCUACCAAGGCGACGAUCCAUAGCUGGUCUGAGAGGAUGAUCAGCCACACUGGGACUGAGACACGGCCCAGACUCCUACGGGAGGCAGCAGGGGGGAAUAUUGGACAAUGGGCGCAAGCCUGAUCCAGCCAUGCCGCGUGAGUGAUGAAGGCCCUAGGGUUGUAAAGCUCUUUCACCGGUGAAGAUAAUGACGGUAACCGGAGAAGAAGCCCCGGCUAACUUCGUGCCAGCAGCCGCCGUAACAC
rnacentral:rRNA from 1 species